UCCGGCUUAUCACCGGCAGUCACCUUAGAGUGCCCAACUAAAUGAUGGCAACUAAGGCCGAGGGUUGCGCUCGUUGCGGGACUUAACCCAACAUCUCACGACAUGAGCUGACGACAGCCAUGCAGCACCUGUAUAGGACCCUUACGGACCCCCCAUCUCUGAUGCUUUCCGGUGUAUGUCAAGCCUUGGUAAGGUUCUUCGCGUUGCGUCGAAUUAAGCCACAUGCUCCGCUGCUUGUGCGGGCCCCCGUCAAUUCCUUUGAGUUUUAGCCUUGCGGCCGUACUCCCCAGGCGGGGAACUUAAUGCGUUAGCUGCGGCACCGACGACGUGGAAUGUCGCCAACACCUAGUUCCCAACGUUUACGGCGUGGACUAC
rnacentral:misc_RNA from 1 species